ensembl:snRNA U6 U6 spliceosomal RNA
GUGCUUGCUUAAGCAGCAUGUAUACUAAAAUUGGAACGACACAGUAGAUUCUCACGGCCUCUGAGCAAGGGUGACAAUAGAGGUUUAUGAAGCAUUCCAUAUUUUU